AGAUUAAGGACAAACAGAGAAAGGUCUAGAAUCGACCCCAUCUUCUUCCUCAUCUACAUCCUUAGGAGACCUCCACCUUAGCUUCAAAUUCUUCAUUUGAUGAGCUUGAGUGAAUUCCACAUAGACACUUAACCUCUCACAAGCGCCAUGGAACCGACAUCGGUGAAGACUUCUUCAGCUCAAGACAUGGAUUUCAGCUUCGAACCAAAAAACUUGAAGCAUCAAGAUAAAAACUGCCUCUCAAACCCCCAUGGCUUCUUCCUUCUACACAGAAUGAGUUCGAAGAACUAAUACCACUGUGAAGAGAUCCAGCUCCAAUAGGCUGUUCAUAGGAGGGAUUUCUGGCCACCUGGGACUGCAACCUCCUUGGUUUCUUGCCCUGUAUCUCUUUCAAUCUGCCAGACCUGCUGCUGUACAUAAUCAGGUGGAAACCUCCCCUCCUCUGCUGUAAUAACUUGAAGUGGUUGUUGAUCCAUCUCAUUUACCAUCUCCUUUGAAAUAGCUGAACCAUCAAGAACACUGGAUUUAUGCUCCCGAUCAACAAUAGUAGCUGCUCCUUGAUGCUCUUUAUUCUCUUGCUUACCAAAGGACUUUGAUAUCCACUCCUUUGUUGAUAUUUGUAGCUCAUUGCUCUCAUUUGUGCUCCCCAUCUUAUCAGUACUCUCCUUCUCAUUCUCCCCUACAUUUGUGAUUGUUGUAUUUGUAUUUGUCUCCUCAAUUUGCUCACUUUCUCUUGUAACUACUGUACAGCUUUGUUGUAGUAUUUCCUUGUCAUUAUUAUGAUCUGCUAAUACAUCAAAGGUAUUAGCCGUAGUAAUU